CAUCUAAAUGUGAAUGGAAGGAUAGCAUUUCCAACUUGAAGUUUUCUGUUUGUGACGUACCAGUGUCCAAGUGAAAUUACCCUUCUCUACUAAUGCAAAGAUGACAGCUCAGCAUGUACACACAGCAUAAUGUUACAGGUGCAGUCAGAAGCUCUCUUUUCUUUUUUCUUUUCUUUUCUUUUUGCUUUGUAGGGCCACACCUGAGGCAUAUGGAGGUUUCCAGGCUAGGGGUCUAAUUGGAGCUACUACAGCUGCCAGCCUACACCACAGCUCAGAGCAACAAAGGAUCCAAGCUGCGUCUUCGACCCACACCAUAGCUCACAGCAAUGCUGGAUCCUUAACCCACUGAGCAGAGCCAGGGAUCGAACCUGCAACCUCAUGGUUCCUAGUCGGAUUCGUUUCUACUGAGCCACGACGGGAACUCCAUUACGCAGUUUUCUUAAUUCACAUGCCUUUCUUAAUGUACUUCUUAGUUCCCAUUUCUUUUUGAAAAAUCUUUAUUACAGCCUGCUUUGAUAAAAUAUUUUGAAAUAGUGAGUAAAAAUAGAUGAGUGCUAUUAUAAGUUAUGAUUCUUUUAAAAUGGCUCCCAGCUCUUGUAGUAAAUUCAAAAGUAAAGGAUUUAUCUGAAGUAAAACUGGAUGUUUUCCUGAUUUUUAAAGUUUGGAAGAAAUUCUUCUGUUUGUAACCAUCUUAUAUUUCUAAAAUGUUCAAAUGAUUGCCUCGGAGUUUGGAGACAAAAUAUUCUUUUUUUUUUUCCCCCUUGAACUUGAAUGCUGAGAACUUGGAUGUUUUAAAUGAGCAAUUUGCCAGCAGAUGACGAUUCAUUCCAGAUAAAAGAGAUACCAAGUACAGUAAAAUCUGUGUUUGCUAACCAGCAAAAUCUGGAAAAUCGCAUUUUUGAGAUUCCCCAGACAAAAUUUCAAUCUAAUAAAUGCCAGUAGGACUAACUGAAAUAGGGUAGGGCGAAUAUGGUAAAAUUAGAUUAAGGUUGCUAGAUAUUUAGUACGUAUUCUUCUGCUAAUUUUAAGAAUCCCAUAGAGUUUUUGCAGACAAAAAUUAUAUACCUGUAUAAAUCAUGGCAUUUUCCUUCCUUUACCAGACUGUGAAGGGAAAGUGGGAGAU
rnacentral:lncRNA from 1 species